GCGUAAUAGCUCACUAGUCGAGUGACACUGCGCCGAAAAUGUACCGGGGCUAAACAUAUUACCGAAGCUGUGGAUUGUCCGUAGGACAAUGGUAGGAGAGCGUUCUAAGGGCGUUGAAGCAUGAUCGUAAGGACAUGUGGAGCGCUUAGAAGUGAGAAUGCCGGUGUGAGUAGCGAAAGACGGGUGAGAAUCCCGUCCACCGAUUGACUAAGGUUUCCAGAGGAAGGCUCGUCCGCUCUGGGUUAGUCGGGUCCU
rnacentral:rRNA from 1 species